UCUGAUGGAGCACGCCGCGUGAGUGAAGAAGGGUUUCGGCUCGUAAAGCUCUGUUGUUAAAGAAGAACGUGGGUAAGAGUAACUGUUUACCCAGUGACGGUAUUUAACCAGAAAGCCACGGCUAACUACGUGCCAGCAGCCGCGGUAAUACGUAGGUGGCAAGCGUUAUCCGGAUUUAUUGGGCGUAAAGCGAGCGCAGGCGGUCUUUUAAGUCUAAUGUGAAAGCCUUCGGCUCAACCGAAGAAGUGCAUUGGAAACUGGGAGACUUGAGUGCAGAAGAGGACAGUGGAACUCCAUGUGUAGCGGUGAAAUGCGUAGAUAUAUGGAAGAACACCAGUGGCGAAGGCGGCUGUCUGGUCUGCAACUGACGCUGAGGCUCGAAAGCAUGGGUAGCGAACAGGAUUAGAUACCCUGGUAGUCCAUGCCGUAAACGAUGAUUACUAAGUGUUGGAGGGUUUCCGCCCUUCAGUGCUGCAGCUAACGCAUUAAGUAAUCCGCCUGGGGAGUACGACCGCAAGGUUGAAACUCAAAAGAAUUGACGGGGGCCCGCACAAGCGGUGGAGCAUGUGGUUUAAUUCGAAGCUACGCGAAGAACCUUACCAGGUCUUGACAUCUUCUGACAGUCUAAGAGAUUAGAGGUUCCCUUCGGGGACAGAAUGACAGGUGGUGCAUGGUUGUCGUCAGCUCGUGUCGUGAGAUGUUGGGUUAAGUCCCGCAACGAGCGCAACCCUUAUUACUAGUUGCCAGCAUUAAGUUGGGCACUCUAGUGAGACUGCCGGUGACAAACCGGAGGAAGGUGGGGACGACGUCAAAUCAUCAUGCCCCUUAUGACCUGGGCUACACACGUGCUACAAUGGAUGGUACAACGAGUCGCGAGACCGCGAGGUUAAGCUAAUCUCUUAAAACCAUUCUCAGUUCGGACUGUAC
rnacentral:rRNA from 1 species